GCAUAUGGCCUUACCACUGUGAACACACCCAACCUCUGAUCUCUGAAGCUAACAGGUUGGGCCUGGUUAGUACUUGGAUGGGAAACCUCUUGGGAAUACUGGGUGCUGUAGCCU
rnacentral:rRNA from 1 species